GGUGAACGCUGGCGGUAGGCCUAACACAUGCAAGUCGAACGGCAGCACAGUAAGAGCUUGCUCUUACGGGUGGCGAGUGGCGGACGGGUGAGGAAUACAUCGGAAUCUACUUUUUCGUGGGGGAUAACGUAGGGAAACUUACGCUAAUACCGCAUACGACCUACGGGUGAAAGCAGGGGAUCUUCGGACCUUGCGCGAUUGAAUGAGCCGAUGUCGGAUUAGCUAGUUGGCGGGGUAAAGGCCCACCAAGGCGACGAUCCGUAGCUGUUCUGAGAGGAUGAUCAGCCACACUGGAAAUGAGACACGGUCCAGACUCCUACGGGAGGCAGCAGUGGGGAAUAUUGGACAAUGGGCGCAAGCCUGAUCCAGCCAUACCGCGUGGGUGAAGAAGGCCUUCGGGUUGUAAAGCCCUUUUGUUGGGAAAGAAAAGCAGCAGGUUAAUACCCCGCUGUUCUGACGGUACCCAAAGAAUAAGCACCAGCUAACUUCGU
rnacentral:rRNA from 1 species